GACGAACGCUGGCGGCGUGCUUAACACAUGCAAGUCGAACGGGUCUGCCCUGUUUUUUGCGGGGUGGGUCAGUGGCGAACGGGUGAGUAACACGUGAGUAACCUGCUCCUCACUUCUGGCUAACCGCUUGAAAGGGUGGCUAAUACGGGGUGUUCUGGCUGUGCCGCAUGGUGUGGCUGGGAAAGAUUCACUUUUGUGGUGUUUUGGUGGGGGAUGGGCUCGCGGCCUAUCAGCUUGUUGGUGGGGUGAUGGCCUGCCAAGGCGUUGACGGGUAGCCGGCCGGGGAGGGUGGGCGGUCACAGUGGGACUGAGAGACGGCCCAGACUCCUGCGGGAGGCAGCAGUGGGGGGUAUUGCACAAUGGGCGGAAGCCUGAUGCAGCGACGUCGCGUGAGGGAUGGAGGCCGGCGGGUUGUGAACCUCUUGCGCCGGUGAAGAAGGUCCUGCUCUUUGUGGUGGGGUUGACGGUAGCCGGGUUAUGAAGCGCCGGCUAACUACGUG
rnacentral:rRNA from 1 species